UAGCUAGUUGGUAGGGUAAGGGCCUACCAAGGCGACGAUCGGUAGCUGGUCUGAGAGGAUGGCCAGCCACACUGGAACUGAGACACGGUCCAGACUCCUACGGGAGGCAGCAGUGGGGAAUAUUGGACAAUGGGGGCAACCCUGAUCCAGCAAUGCCGCGUGUGUGAAGAAGGCCUGAGGGUUGUAAAGCACUUUCAGUGGGGAGGAGAGGACUUAGGUUAAGAGCUAGAGUUCUGGACGUUACCCACUGAAGAAGCACCGGCUAACUCCGUGCCAGCAGCCGCGGUAAUACGGAGGGUGCGAGCGUUAAUCGGAAUUACUGGGCGUAAGGGGUGCGUAGGUGGUUAGAUAAGUUAUCUGUGAAAUCCCUAGGCUCAACCUGGGCAGGUCAGAUGAUACUGUUUAACUCGAGUAUGGGAGAGGGUAGUGGAAUUUCCGGUGUAGCGGUGAAAUGCGUAGAAAUCGGAAGGAACACCAGUGGCGAAGGCGGCUACCUGGCCUAAUACUGACACUGAGGCACGAAAGCGUGGGGAGCAAACAGGAUUAGAUACCCUGGUAGUCCACGCUGUAAACGAUGUCAACUAGCUGUUGGUUAUAUAAAAAUAAUUAGUGGCGC
rnacentral:rRNA from 1 species